GACGAACGCUGGCGGCGUGCCUAAUACAUGCAAGUAGAACGCUGAAGGAGGAGCUUGCUCUUCUGGAUGAGUUGCGAACGGGUGAGUAGCGCGUAGGUAACCUGCCUGGUAGCGGGGGAUAACUAUUGGAAACGAUAGCUAAUACCGCAUAAGAGUAGAUGUUGCAUGACAUUUGCUUAAAAGGUGCAAUUGCAUCACUACCAGAUGGACCUGCGUUGUAUUAGCUAGUUGGUGGGGUAACGGCUCACCAAGGCGACGAUACAUAGCCGACCUGAGAGGGUGAUCGGCCACACUGGGACUGAGACACGGCCCAGACUCCUACGGGAGGCAGCAGUAGGGAAUCUUCGGCAAUGGACGGAAGUCUGACCGAGCAACGCCGCGUGAGUGAAGAAGGGUUUCGGAUCGUAAAGCUCUGUUGUAAGAGAAGAACGAGUGUGAGAGUGGAAAGUUCACACUGUGACGGUAUCUUACCAGAAAGGGACGGCUAACUACGUG
rnacentral:rRNA from 1 species